GCACCAGCAACCCUCCCGACCCCACUGAGGGACAAGGGUGUGAUGCAAACACCAGCAGUCCUGGAGAAGGAGAUUUAUCUGGAGGUUUUAUUCCUGUUGCUGGAGUUCUUGUACUGGUUUUCAUCAGUAUAGCUGGAAUCAUUCUGGGAGUUAUCUAUUGCAACUUCUGUCAUCGAAGAAAACCGCUGGAAGCCUUGAUGUGGCGUGAAACAAACAGUACAGUGUUAUAUAAGGAAGCAGUGGAGUCUGAGCCGUACCUCAAACAGGAAGAGCUGAGGCUUUGCUCUAAUGUCAGUGGUCUGUUGAUAAAAUAUAAAUAMAUGAAAUGUGGGCAGCGAUGGUCUUUAUUAAUGAAUGAAACCAUCGUUUCAAAAUGUUUCAUUGACUCUGGUCUCUGGUUCUUUUUCUGGUACUAAUAUUUGACUUUGAAUUUCUGGGAUUUAAAAGAAGUCUAGUGUUUUAUAUAUUUUGAAUGCAUCUACAGAUUUUGGAGUGUUCGUCCCUUUUCAUAUAGKAUUAAACUUGGUUUAAUACAUGAUGACAUGUUGAGAUCUGUAGUGUGUUUUCAUGCACUUGACAUUAGUUUGAACUUGUUUCUUAAUGUAUUUAACACCAGAUCAUUUGUA